UACGAACGGGUGGAGCCUGCGGUUUAAUUGGAUUCACGCCGGAGAUCUCGACCGGGGCGACAGCAAUAUGAAGGUCAGGCUGAAGACCUUACCCGAUUAGCUGAGAGGUGGUGCAUGGCCGUCGUCAGUUCGUACUGUGAAGCAUCCUGUUAAGUCAGGCAACGAGCGAGACCCACGUCCACAGUUGCCAGCAUACCCUCCGGGGUGAUGGGUACACUGUGGAGACCGCCGCUGCUAAAGCGGAGGAAGGAGUGGGCAACGGUAGGUCAGUAUGCCCCGAAUCUCCCGGGCUACACGCGGGCUACAAUGGUUGGUACAAUGGGCAUCUACCCCGAAAGGGGAAGGAAAUCUCUUAAAGCCAAUCGUAGUUCGGAUUGAGGGCUGCAACUCGCCCUCAUGAAGCUGGAAUCCGUAGUAAUCGCGUUUCAACAGAACGCGGUGAAUACGUCCCUGCUCCUU
rnacentral:rRNA from 1 species